GAAGUGAAAAAUCACUAAGGACCACCUAUGUGAUGAUGGCCAUGAGAACGCACAGGUUUUGGAGUGAAGGUGUCCAUUCCUGGGCCAGUAAAGAGAAGGUCUCUAUAGCUGGAUCUGAAAUGGAAAAGAGAGACAAGGUCUUUGCAGAGGUGAUUCCGUUAAAAUGAGGUCAUUAGAGGGGCCUUAAUCCAGGAUGACUGGGAAAACUUGGACACAGCACAGAGGAAGACCAUGUGAAGACACAGAGAGAAGGCAGUCGUCUACACGCCCAGGUCAGCACCCAGCACAUUUGGACUCUGAAGGAUGAGUAUCUGAUUACAAAGAAAGGAAAUGAAAACGAGCAAAUUCGUUAUUCACAAGAGCCAAGCUGUAGAAGCAACCUAGUGUCUGUCAAAAUGGAUAAAGAAGAUGCCGUGCAUAUACACAAUGAAUGGUAUUAUUCAGCCAUGAAAAAUAAGGAA